rnacentral:rRNA from 1 species
UUGGUGAGGUAACGGCUCACCAAGGCAACGAUCAGUAGCCGACCUGAGAGGGUGAUCGGCCACAUUGGAACUGAGACACGGUCCAAACUCCUACGGGAGGCAGCAGUGGGGAAUAUUGCACAAUGGGCGGAAGCCUGAUGCAGCAACGCCGCGUGAACGAUGAAGGCCUUCGGGUCGUAAAGUUCUGUCCUUGGGGAAGAUAAUGACGGUACCCUUGAAGGAAGCCCCGGCUAACUACGUGCCAGCAGCCGCGGUAAUACGUAGGGGGCGAGCGUUAUCCGGAAUUAUUGGGCGUAAAGAGUACGUAGGUGGCUGUGCAAGCGCGGGGUUUAAUGCAGUGGCUUAACCACUGUACGCCUUGCGAACUGUACGGCUUGAGUGCAGGAGGGGAAAGCGGAAUUCCUAGUGUAGCGGUGAAAUGCGUAGAUAUUAGGAGGAACACCGGUGGCGAAGGCGGCUUUCUGGACUGCAACUGACACUGAGGUACGAAAGCGUGGGGAGCAAACAGGAUUAGAUACCCUGGUAGUCCACGCCGUAAACGAUGAGCACUAGGUGUCGGGUUCGCAAGAGCUCGGUGCCGCAGUUAACGC